rfam:Loxodonta africana unplaced genomic scaffold scaffold_422, whole genome shotgun sequence.
UCCCUGGUUGUGUAGUGGCUAGGAUUCGGCGCUUUAACCGCCGCGGCCAGGGUUCAAUUCCCGGUCAGGGCA